rnacentral:rRNA from 1 species
UACGUAUGGAGCAAGCGUUAUCCGAAUUUACUGGGUGUAAAGGGAGCGCAGGCGGCUUUGCAAGUCUGAUGUGAAAGGCCGGGGCUCAACCCCGGGACUGCAUUGGAAACUGUAAAGCUAGAGUGCCGGAGAGGUAAGCGGAAUUCCUAGUGUAGCGGUGAAAUGCGUAGAUAUUAGGAGGAACACCAGUGGCGAAGGCGGCUUACUGGACGGCAACUGACGCUGAGGCUCGAAAGCGUGGGGAGCAAACAGG